CAACCGGGGAGGGUCAUUGGAAACUGGGAGACUUGAGUGCAGAAGAGGAGAGUGGAAUUCCAUGUGUAGCGGUGAAAUGCGUAGAUAUAUGGAGGAACACCAGUGGCGAAGGCGGCUCUCUGGUCUGUAACUGACGCUGAGGCUCGAAAGCGUGGGGAGCGAACAGGAUUAGAUACCCUGGUAGUCCACGCCGUAAACGAUGAGUGCUAAGUGUUGGAGGGUUUCCGCCCUUCAGUGCUGCAGCAAACGCAUUAAGCACUCCGCCUGGGGAGUACGACCGCAAGGUUGAAACUCAAAGGAAUUGACGGGGGCCCGCACAAGCGGUGGAGCAUGUGGUUUAAUUCGAAGCAACGCGAAGAACCUUACCAGGUCUUGACAUCCUUUGACCACUCUAGAGAUAGAGCUUCCCCUUCGGGGGCAAAGUGACAGGUGGUGCAUGGUUGUCGUCAGCUCGUGUCGUGAGAUGUUGGGUUAAGUCCCGCAACGAGCGCAACCCUUAUUGUUAGUUGCCAUCAUUUAGUUGGGCACUCUAGCGAGACUGCCGGUGACAAACCGGAGGAAGGUGGGGAUGACGUCAAAUCAUCAUGCCCCUUAUGACCUGGGCUACACACGUGCUACAAUGGGAAGUACAACGAGUUGCGAAGUCGCGAGGCUAAGCUAAUCUCUUAAAGCUUCUCUCAGUUCGGAUUGUAGGCUGCAACUCGCCUACAUGAAGCCGGAAUCGCUAGUAAUCGCGGAUCAGCACGCCGCGGUGAAUACGUUCCCGGGCCUUGUACACACCGCCCGUCACACCACGAGAGUUUGUAACACCCGAAGUCGGUGAGGUAACC
rnacentral:rRNA from 1 species